rnacentral:rRNA from 1 species
CAGUAGCCACGGUAAUACAGAGGGUGCGAGCGUUAAUCGGAAUUACUGGGCGUAAAGGGCGCGUAGGCGGUUAGGAAGGUGUGAUGUGAAAGCCCUGGGCUUAACCUAGGAAGUGCAUCGCAAACCAACUAGCUGGAGUAUAAGAGAGGGUGGCGGAAUUUCCGGUGUAGCGGUGAAAUGCGUAGAGAUCGGAAGGAACGUCAAUGGCGAAGGCAGCCACCUGGCUUAAUACUGACGCUGAGGCGCGAAAGCCAGGGGAGCGAACGGGAUUAGAGACCCCAGUAGUCCCUGUCUCUUAUAC